ACUCUUUGACCUGGCCUCGGUAUCCUCACAUUUAAAAUGAGGAGUUGGCUUAUAUGAUUGGCUGGCAUAUUUGGCUCAUCUCGAAGACUGUCUAUUAUAGAAGGGCAAAUGGUAGUGCCUCAUUGCAGGUGUGGAGCCUUUGACUUGAGGACAUCGGCAGAAACUAGAUGAUCAGACCAAGCCCGGGAGCUUGUCCUUUUCCGAGCGGCUCAGUGAACUGGAGCAGCUGCGGCGCACAGCCAUGAGGGUCAGCCCACACCACCCAGCCCCCACGCCCAACCCUCGUGCCUCCCUGAACCACUCCACUGCCUUUAACCCUCAGCCUCAGAGUCAGAUGCAGGGUAAGUACCAGAUGGAGCCCACUGCCCGCCUCUCCUGCACCUGGGCCACCACCCACAACUGGCCCCCAUGUGCACACACCUUCCCAGACCAACUGGGGUUUCCCCUUGAUGCUCAGAGAAAGGCCUCGAACCAACAGCACCACCUGGGAGCUGUUGGAAAUGCAGAGUCUUGGGCCCCACCCACCCCAGACCCACCGAGUCAGAUCUGCAUUGUAACCAGAUCCCCACAAGGAAAAGCACUGCUACAGAGGAUACGAGGAGCUCUGGGUAUGGAUAUCCAUAUUGGAUAGAUAGCUCUCUUGAAUUUUUUAAGAGUUAGCUUUGGCUAUGCUAUUUUUUUACCUACCCAUUAGGCUUGAAGACACACACGCAGACACACACACACACACACGUCAAGCAAAGUGAAGAUGGGAUGUUUCAAGUUCUCGCUAUUGCCAGAUUAUUUGUGGGUUUUGUAUCUAGUGUUUUUUUAUUAUUAAGAAAUAGUUGAAAUGUAUGGAUGUCAUCACAUCAAGGGUGUUAUUUGCAAAUCAAUAGAGAAUGCAGGUCCCCCCAGCCCAUGGGGCUAGCUGGCAAUUACUAAAGCGCUGUAAGAUGCAAUAAUUGCCUAAGGCCCACUGUGCCAAAUUAGAUAAUACAAGAAGUUCAUUUACACUGUAGACCAGUGACGUCAAUGACUGUUUGCUCUGUGAUACCGUUUCAAAAAUCCAAAAUGCAGACUUUUCUCUGUGCCAUGCAGGAUGCAGCUGUGUGUGAUAUGGUUUACAGUAAUAUUUCUUUCUCAAAGUAGCAGGCUUGUUAAGGAAAAGAUAAGCAACACAUCUGGGGAAAAGGGCAGGUGGCCAGCAAUCGAUGUGGUAGCUCUUUGCCCCUCUCGGACAGCAGGAAUUAGCUUCCCCAGGCAUUUUCUGUAUGUGAGUUGUAUUGUGGGAUGUACAAAUAUCAUCUGUUCCUUUGGGUUUCCAGGCCAGUAGCUCUCUAUUUUGGGUUCAAACAUGGGUUCUCAGGCCGGGCGCGGUGGCUCACACGUGUAAUCCCAGCACUUUGGGAGGCCAAGGCGGGCGGAUCACGAGGUCAGGAGAUGGAGACCAUCCUGGCUAACAUGGUGAAACCCCAACUCUACUAAAAAUACAAAAAAUUAGGCAGGCAUGGUGGCGGGUGCCUGUAGUCCCAGCUACUCAGGAGGCUGAGGCAGGAGAAUGGUGUGAACCCGGGAGGUUGGAGGUUGCAGUAAGCCGAGAUUGCACCACUGCACUCCAGCCUGGGCAACAGAGCGAGACUCCAUCUCAAAAAACAAACAAACAAACAAACAAAAACAUGGGUUCUCAAAAGGCAUGCCCACUGUCUCCCAUGGAGCUUGACAGCCCAUGCCAUUAGCUCUCACUGUUAGGUUUCUGGGGAAGGUUCUUCUACUUGAUUGGAAAAUUUCCAAAUAAAUCUUUCCAGAAG
rnacentral:lncRNA from 1 species